rnacentral:rRNA from 1 species
AUUAGAUACCCGUGUAGUCCCAGCCGUAAACUAUGCUCGCUAGGUGUCAGGCAUGGCGCGACCGUGUCUGGUGCCGCAGGGAAGCCGUGAAGCGAGCCACCUGGGAAGUACGGCCGCAAGGCUGAAACUUAAGGAAUUGGCGGGGGAGCACAACAACGGGUGGAGCCUGCGGUUUAAUUGGACUCAACGCCGGACAACUCACCGGGGACGACAGCAAUAUGUAGGCCAGGCUGAAGACCUUGCCUGAAUCGCUG